rnacentral:rRNA from 1 species
UACGGGGGGGGCAAGCGUUGUUCGGAAUUACUGGGCGUAAAGGGUUCGUAGGUGGCUUGCUAAGUCAGACGUGAAAUCCCUCAGCUUAACUGGGGAACUGCGUCUGAUACUGGCGAGCUUGAGUGCAGGAGAGGAACGCGGAAUUCCAGGUGUAGCGGUGAAAUGCGUAGAUAUCUGGAGGAACACCGGUGGCGAAGGCGGCGUUCUGGACUGCAACUGACACUGAUGAACGAAAGCCAGGGGAGCAAACAGG